rnacentral:rRNA from 1 species
GAUGAACGCUGGCGGCGUGCCUAAUACAUGCAAGUCGAACGCCCCGCAAGGGGAGUGGCAGACGGGUGAGUAACACGUGGGAACGUACCCUUUGGUUCGGAAUAACUUGGGGAAACUCAAGCUAAUACCGGAUAAGCCCUUAUGGGGAAAGGUUUACUGCCGAAGGAUCGGCCCGCGUCUGAUUAGCUAGUUGGUGAGGUAAUGGCUCACCAAGGCGACGAUCAGUAGCUGGUCUGAGAGGAUGAUCAGCCACACUGGGACUGAGACACUGCCCAGACUCCUACGGGAGGCAGCAGUGGGGAAUAUUGGACAAUGGGGGCAACCCUGAUCCAGCCAUGCCGCGUGAGUGAUGAAGGCCUUAGGGUUGUAAAGCUCUUUUACCCGGGACGAUAAUGACUGUACCGGGAGAAUAAGCCCCGGCUAACUUCGUGCCAGCCGCCGCAGUAA